rnacentral:rRNA from 1 species
AUGAACGCUGGCGGCGUGCCUAAUACAUGCAAGUCGAGCGAACGGACGAGAAGCUUGCUUCUCUGAUGUUAGCGGCGGACGGGUGAGUAACACGUGGAUAACCUACCUAUAAGACUGGGAUAACUUCGGGAAACCGGAGCUAAUACCGGAUAAUAUUUUGAACCGCAUGGUUCAAAAGUGAAAGACGGUCUUGCUGUCACUUAUAGAUGGAUCCGCGCUGCAUUAGCUAGUUGGUAAGGUAACGGCUUACCAAGGCAACGAUGCAUAGCCGACCUGAGAGGGUGUUCGGCCCCACUGGAACUGAGACACGGCCCAGACUCCUAGGGGAGGCAGCGGUAGGGAAUCUUGCGCAAUGGGCGAAAGCCUGACGGAGCAACGCCGCGUGGGUGAUGAAGGUCUUCGGAUCGUAAAACUCUGUUAUUAGGGAAGACCAUAUGUGUAAGUAACUGUGCACAUCUUGACGGUACCUACUCAGAAAGCCACGGCUAACUACGUG